UAUUAUAAUUGGGGUAGCCCCCCAAAUAUUGGGACGUAUAAAAAAAGACAACUCUGUUCCGCAGAGUAGCUGUUGACAUAAUACUUUUCAUGCGGAUGUCAUCCAUAUCAACUUUCGAUGCCAGUUUCUGCGCCUACCAUGGUGACCAUGGGUAAUGGGGAAUCAGUGUUCCAUUCCGUACAGGGACCCUGAGAAACGGCUACCACAUGCAAGGUAUGCAGCAGGCGCACAAAUGACCCACUCCUGACGCGGGAAGGUAGUGACGACAAAUAACAAUACAGAACUCUUUAGAGGCCCUGUAAUUGUAAUGAAUCCACUUGAAAUCCUUUAACUCUGAUCAAUUGGAGGGAAGUCUGGUGCAGAGCCACUGACCCAUGUAUGCUACACCUGAAACUCCACUA